GAUGAACGCUGGCGGCGUGCUUAACGCAUGCAAGUCGAACGGAAAGGCCCAAGCUUGCUUGGGUACUCGAGUGGCGAACGGGUGAGUAACACGUGGGUGAUCUGCCCUGCACUUCGGGAUAAGCCUGGGAAACUGGGUCUAAUACCGGAUAGGACGAUGGUUUGGAUGCCAUUGUGGAAAGUUUUUUCGGUGUGGGAUGAGCUCGCGGCCUAUCAGCUUGUUGGUGGGGUAAUGGCCUACCAAGGCGUCGACGGGUAGCCGGCCUGAGAGGGUGUACGGCCACAUUGGGACUGAGAUACGGCCCAGACUCCUACGGGAGGCAGCAGUGGGGAAUAUUGCACAAUGGGCGCAAGCCUGAUGCAGCGACGCCGCGUGGGGGAUGACGGCCUUCGGGUUGUAAACUCCUUUCGCUAGGGACGAAGCGUUUUUGUGACGGUACCUGGAGAAGAAGCACCGGCUAACUACGUG
rnacentral:rRNA from 1 species